rnacentral:rRNA from 1 species
GAUGAACGCUGGCGGCGUGCCUAAUACAUGCAAGUCGAGCGAACAGACGCGGAGCUUUCUCCUCUGACGUUAGCGGCGGACGGGUGAGUAACACGUGAAUAACCUACCUAUAAGACUGGGAUAACUGCGGGAAACCGGAGCUCAUACCGGAUCAUAUAUCGAACCGCAUGGUUCAAUAGUGAAAGACGGUUUUCCUGUCACUUAUCCAUGGAUCCGCGCCUCAUUAGCUAGUUGGUAAGGUAACGGCUUACCAAGGCAACGAUGCGUAGCCGACCUGAGAGGGGGAUCGGCCACACUGGAACUGAGACACGGUCCAGACUCCUACGGGAGGCAGCAGUAGGGAAUCUUCCGCAAUGGGCGAAAGCUUGACGGAGCAACGCCGCGUGAGUGAUGAAGGUCUUCGGAUCGUAAAACUCUGUUAUGAGGGAAGAACAAAUGUGUAAGUAACUAUGCACGUCGUGACGGUACCUAAUCAGAAAGCCACGGCUAACUACGUG